AAAUGAAUAGACGGGGGCCCGCACAAGCAGCGGAGCAUGUUGUUUAAUUCGAUGCAACGCGAAGAACCUUACCAGGUCUUGACAUUGAUCUAAACUGCAAGAGAUUGCAGGUGUCUUCGGACAAGAGAAAACAGGUGGUGCAUGGUUGUCGUCAGCUCGUGUCGUGAGAUGUUGGGUUAAGUCCCGCAACGAGCGCAACCCCUAUUAUCAGUUACUAACGUGUAAAGGCGAGGACUCUGAUGAGACUGCCGGGGACAACUCGGAGGAAGGUGGGGACGACGUCAAAUCAUCAUGCCCCUUAUGACCUGGGCUACAAACGUGCUACAAUGGUGACUACAAAGAGGAGCGAGCCUGUGAAGGUAAGCGGAUCUCAAAAAAGUCAUCCCAGUUCGGACUGUGGGCUGCAACCCGCCCACACGAAGUUGGAGUUGCUAGUAAUCGCGGAUCAGAAUGCCGCGGUGAAUACGUUCCCGGGCCUUGUACACACCGCCCGU
rnacentral:rRNA from 1 species